rnacentral:rRNA from 1 species
UGAGCAAUCUGCCCUUCUCAUCGGAAUAAGCGUUGGAAACGACGUCUAAUGCCGAAUACGACCUCCUUUCGCAUGAUCGGAGGUGGAAAGCUCCGGCGGAGAAGGAUGAGCUCGCGGCCUAUCAGCUAGUUGGUGUGGGUAAUGGCCCACCAAGGCGACGACGGGUAGACGGCCUGAGAGGGUGACCGGCCACACUGGGACUGAGAUACGGCCCAGACUCCUACGGGAGCAG